rnacentral:rRNA from 1 species
GAUGAACGCUGGCGGCGUGCCUAAUACAUGCAAGUCGAGCGAACAGACGAGGAGCUUGCUCCUCUGACGUUAGCGGCGGACGGGUGAGUAACACGUGGAUAACCUACCUAUAAGACUGGGAUAACUUCGGGAAACCGGAGCUAAUACCGGAUAAUAUAUUGAACCGCAUGGUUCAAUAGUGAAAGACGGUUUUGCUGUCACUUAUAGAUGGAUCCGCGCCGCAUUAGCUAGUUGGUAAGGUAACGGCUUACCAAGGCAACGAUGCGUAGCCGACGUGAGAGGGUGAUCGGCCACACUGGAACUGAGACACGGUCCAGACUCCUACGGGAGGCAGCAGUAGGGAAUGUUCCGCAAAGGGCGAAAGCCUGACGGAGCAACGCCGCGUGAGUGAUGAAGGUCUUCGGAUCGUAAAACUCUGUUAUUAGGGAAGAACAAAUGUGUAAGUAACUAUGCACGUCUUGACGGUACCUAAUCAGAAAGCCACGGCUAACUACGUG